UUUAGUGGACAGAAAUAAUUCAGCCUUUUGGAACAAUACCCAGGCUUAACAUAGACGAAUAAUGAGCUUAAGACAACAGAACGUGCUUUUUGGUAUGCAAGACAAUAUAACAACUCUGCAGAUAGAACAUGACAAUGUACUCAGAUUUGAAUGCAGAAAGGCAUUUUGGAGGGACAAAAUCAGCACAAAUAUAAGGUAUUUGAUACAAUCAUGGUGUAAAUGUGAUUUUCCAUCUCCUGAGGUUAUCUUGGCGCAAGAGGCAUGGUAAUAUGUUAGGUGUAAAGAGGUGGUUUUUUUGCCAGUUUUGGUUGGAUAUUAGUCAUCACCUGAAUUAUGUGUUUCUUAUGAAUUGGAAGGCAUUGACAUAACCAAAGCCUCAAAUUUCAACUGGCACUUAGAUGACGGUAAUGAAAGGGUUUACUAGGCCUGCAUUGGCUUUGUAUAUUUAUUUUUCUGGUUCAGUGAUGAGCCAGAGCAGCCUGGAAUUCCAGACGCAAAUCCAAAAGAUUAACUUGCUGAGCAAAUUCAAAUUUUGCUGUCGCAAGAACUUUGGAUUUCCAGGGUGGAACCAGAGUACAACAAGAUUACAUUUUCUUUACCAGCUUGCCAUCUAGAUCAUCCAGCAUCUAAAACCAGAUCACAACUGCUAGUUUCCUUUUGCAGAAGUGUGAAGUCUGAGGUGUGUUCACGACUCUGGGCUCGACACCUGAGAAGGAGCUGAAAAGCACCGGUAUGGAGGGAGGGGGAAAAGGUCUGAGUGAUCUACAAAGACACUAUUGCUGUAUGUUUGUAUGCAGAAAGGAACUCUGCAUCUGAAUACAAAAAUCUUCUGAGCGACUCAAUCAGUUAGAUUUUUACUACAGACUGUGGAAUUAAAGUUACCAUAUAAUGCGAGUACAAUGUUUGUUUAUCACAUAAAGCUAGCCUGUGAUGCAUCGUGGAUUCUGCAGUGCACUUGUAAUUUCACUAUCAAUAAUUUCACAGAUUUAUGUAUUCUCUGCACAGUGCUGGUGUUGGGCAGUGCACAUAUAAGAAGAAUCAUACCAUACACACACACAAACUGACGUAAGCAGUGAAGCUAUAACAAUGUCCUGUAGUGGUCUUAAAUGUAUUUUCUUUUUUGUCCACAGUGAUUUAUCAACUAUGCAAAACAAUUGUAUGGCUUAUGCUGUUAUUCUAAACCUGUGGCCAGUGUCCAUGGUGUCUCAACCUCCUAAACUAUUUAAAGACUAUCACCAAUUUGUGAUUGUGAGAUUUAGUAUAGGAAUUUCAGUCACUAAGACGUGAGCUUUUAGGAAAAGCAUACACUUCCUAUUCACAGUAGGCUAUUAUAAGAUUUGGCUUUUUAUUGCGGCUGUAAAAACUUAAAUAUAUAGAUCUAAUGCUCAAUGUUUGUGUUUUGUUGUCAACUGCUUUAGUUCUUUGUAGUCCUGCUGUAAUUAUACAAAGGGCUCAUCGGGCAUGAUGAAGUUGAGUUGCAUUGUGGGUAACCCAGGAACCAAUAAAAAUGGGGACUGCUGGAGACUCCCAGAAAAACCUUUUUGCAUACUUUUUCUUUUACUUUUAAGUAUGUACUGCAGCUGUCCUUAACAGGUAUGUGCUGUUGCAUGCAAGUUGCUUACAAAUGGGACAUACUCCUUCAUAACAUUGCAAUUUAAACUUUGGCCCUCAAGCUUGUUUAUGAUUGUGGGUCAGAAUAUUGAAAAGCAUGCUGGCUUGCAUACUGCAAAUUCCGAGUGUGUGACUGAUGCACGUUCUUGUAGGCUUGCAUCGGUUUGUCUCGUCAUUUUUUGAAUUAGGAACCUAAUUUUGACCUUUAUCCUUUAGUAAUUUAUAUGCCUUUGUCCCAAGACUUAUAAGAGAUGGCACUCCUUGUAACUUCAAACUGAUACCGUACAAGUCAGUUUCAAAAUUUAAAAUUCUACUUACAGAUUUCUCAGUGUUCACCAAGUCUAAAAAAAUAUAUAUAAAUGACAGCUGUUAUAGCAAUGCACAAUGGUAAUGGGGCUAUUGUGUAUGAGAACUUCUUUCUUUUUUUCUGAUAAAUACAUUUCCUUAAGUUUGAAUCCAGGAGUUUUUUUAUUUAUUGGGUACUACUAAUUUUCAUAAACCCAUCAUUCAUUGUUGCAAUAUAGAACGAGUAUGGCAGCUUU